GAAAGUUUUGUCUUUUGAAGGACUUAAUUUUUUUUGAUUCACAGUUUUGAUGCUGUAUCAGUCGAGGUCCACUCAGGAAAACAGAAAUGGCACCAGUUAUUUGAACAAAAAUAAUUCAACAUGAGGAAUCGAUUAAACAGAUAUUAGAGGACUAAAAAGGCAUGAGAAAACUGCCUGUUUAAAGGAUUCAUCCGUGAGAAGCCAGCCCUAUGGGAGUUAUUCACUUACGAGAAGCUGCGAAACACAGUCUCUAGCUAGGCGACCAUGGCUCAGCUUAAACUGAAUUAAUAUGGAAGAAAGGAAGAUCAAAUUUUAAGGAGCAGUUAGCAGUCUGCCACAAACAUUGGCCACAGUAUUCAAUGCAGUAACAUGCUGAGCAGGUUUGCAGCCUAGGAGCAACAGGCUAUUCUCCAUUGCCUAUAGCAGGCUGUGCCAUCUAGGUUUGUGUAAGUACACUCUGUGUAUGACAAAAUCACCUGAUGGCAUAUCUCUCAGAAUGUAUCCCCGUUGUUAAGUGACGGAGAACUGUUUCAUGUAGCAUUUGAAAAUAAAGUAAUUUAUUUUGCAUAAAAAUGGAUUUUUUUUUCUCAAUAAAAUGUGGCUGCUUCUAGGGGCAAAAUUAACAUACAGGACUUGAACCGACAGUGUUAAAACUGUGGAAGGAAAUCUUAGAGGGCAUGUUGUUAAACAUUUCCCCAAGUCACACGUUACUUCUUUAUCAUCCCUGACAGGUUCCUCUUCAUUCACCGCUAUCUGAAUGCUUCCGUGAGGCAGACCCCAUUCCAUUCCCUCACUGCAUUGAUGGACAGCUCUAAACUGCCUCUUCGACAUCUUAUUCUCAUCAGACUUUUCUGAAACAACAGCGUAAAUCUGAUCUCAUUUCUGCGAUUAUCCAUGACAUUUUUGAGGAGUAUUAUUUUCUUCCUGAGACUUUUCCAGGCUAACCACUCCCAACUUUUUCCAUAUUCCUUGAUGGAAAUCACUUCCUGUCCCACUGCGAUCCUGAUGACCUUCCUCUGGACAUACUUCUGUUUUUCAGUGUCCUUCAGAAAACUAUUAUAGAUGUCUUGUGAGCAGACCAGAGAACAGAGUCUAGUAAAACAAUCUUUUAUGAGCUGGGUGAUAAGCAUUUAUUGAUGACGAUGAUGUGGCAUUCACUUUCUCAUCAGUUGAACCCUAUGGCCUUGUUUGAACGGCAUGGGGAGCCCUCUUGUUCCCAAGUACGGCCUUGCAGGGAGUCUGUACUUCCAUCUCUAGUGAUUGAAAGAUUGGAUUUAUUCACCUAAUACUAAAGGUUUUUUUUUUUUUUUACACACAUUUUAAAUUCCUUUAGUAAAAAAUACCAUUGGAUAUAGGUAAUACUUUAAACCUUUUCCUACGGAUCUUUUAUUUGGAUUUAGUUCACAACUACAUGAGAGGAGGAAGGGAGAAAAUCUGGCAGUAGAGAGUUCAUGAGAUGAAAAGCAUUUCCAGCGUCAUUGCCAUGAAGACAGCAACAGGGAAUCGGGAAGAGACCGAAGAAUACAUUUUACCAACUACAAAACUUUCCUGACUCUUGACUUGGAGCUAAAGAAAAUGGCAACUCAGAAGCACCAAUGAAUACAAACAAGAAAGGCCCCCCAAAAGCCUGCUAUCUCAAGCCAAAGGAAAAGGAAAAAGCAGCCUAGCAUUACCAAAACCUUUUAGACUAUAACUGCUGUGCACCAGCCAAAAACUACAGAAAGAACAGUGGUCCCACUCCCGCCCACACCAGAAAAGGCAGAGUGGGGGAGCCCAGACUUCCACCCUUGUCUUGCUGUAGUGAGGUUCUCUAAGCUCCUGCUGUGGAGUGGUGUUAGAGCAAGCUAAGUAGGAAACUGGGACUUUAUCCCUUCUGGAUGUUGAUGAAGACAUUCCCCUCCUUCACAGCAUCAGUGAGGAGACUUUUUUUUUUUUUCCCAUCUCUACCUAGCAGUAAUGAUGCUUUCUUCCCCUACACAUAGAGGUAGUGUCAAAGGAGACCUAGUAGAGACUGAGACGGUUUAUCCCUGCCCACCCUACCCCAGUGGCAUCAGUAGAAGAAGAAAUAAGGCACUCCUAGUUUUCCCAGUCAGGGUAAUAUCAGUGGAGACCUUUCAGGGAGUGGGAGCUCCCACCUCUUACCAGCAGUAAUGAGGGAGAUCCUCACCCCUUUGGGUGUUAAUAGAAUCCCAGUGGGGAAUCUGGACUUCCACUCCACCUAGGUGUAGUGCAGCAGGAUGGUCCUUCUCCUCUUCUCUUUCCUAUAUAGUGUCAGAGUGGGUCACCUAAAACAGAAGGCUUAUAAAAAUACAAAAUCUCAUAGUACUCAAAAUGUCCAGAUUUAAACAGAAGCAUCACUAGUACAUCAUAAAAAGAACAAGGGAAUCUAUACUUAAAUAAAAAAGAAAUACAUGCAAAUAUCAAGAUAGCCGAAAUAUUAAAAUGAUCU